rnacentral:rRNA from 1 species
UACGGAGGGGGCUAGCGUUCUUCGGAAUUACUGGGCGUAAAGCGCACGUAGGCGGCUUUGUAAGUUAGAGGUGAAAGCCUGGGGCUCAACUCCAGAACUGCCUUUAAGACUGCAUCGCUUGAAUCAUGGAGAGGCGGGUGGAAUUCCGAGUGUAGAGGUGAAAUUCGUAGAUAUUCGGAAGAACACCAGUGGCGAAGGCGGCCCGCUGGACAUGUAUUGACGCUGAGGUGCGAAAGCGUGGGGAGCAAACAGG